ACGUAAACAGAUUGUCCAAUCAUAUGUGUGAGGGCGGGACCUAAGUGAGGCAGGUGAAAGGUCAGCCUCCGGGGUUCGACUGCUAGUUUGCUAUUGUUGAAGGAGGCUGAAGGAGCUAAGCUAAAGAGAAACAGUGAUAAUAUACGUGCGGAUGCAGAGUCGACUUUAUUGUUUUGGACUGUUUAACCUCCGGUGAACGGAGAGGAAUUAUCUGGACUCUCUGACAUUGACGUUGGUCGAGUUUUGCCAGAGUUCUCCAUGUUGCCCGGCGCAGUGAAGCACCUUUAAACUCAGAUGUCCAGUGGUACCCGCUUGGUCACGGACAAGGCCUCAUCCAUCCCUCACACCUAAGCUAACUCAAAGGCCUCUGUGAGUAAACUGUAGCAGAACCAAGUCCACUUAUUGCGUCUUACAACGUACAGAACUGGGGAUUGAAGAGAGGAGGCAGGACUAUAAAAAGUGGUAGAGAAGAUGAGUCAAAAAUCCAGUUUCAGACUUUGGAAAGCCGCUCCCUGUCAGCUGUUUAAUGUGCUCAUAGGAGGAUAAAACGCUGCCUUCACUUCUCCUGCCAGCAGCUCAGGCAUAACGGAGAAGAAGCAGAGACGGUAAGGAAUAGCUGAAAAAGACCGGAGAAAGCAGUGGGAGGGGGUCUGGAAGUGGUACGCAUGGCUGGAGCAAAGCAGCAAGCACUCGUCCAAGCAAACUAGCGGGAGCUAUCGAUCCUUUUCUCCUUUUUCUUUUUUUUUUGUGAGUGUUUUCAACCUGUUGUCUCCCGUCGCUCUGUAAGGCCGGUGUUUUGAGAGCCCACCUGAGACGAAGGGCAGCUCAUGAGUUUCGUCCCUUUUUAUUUCCAUUUCUUUCUUCCACCCACAUCCCUCUUUCCCUCACAGUUUCCUUUCUUUUCUUUUUUCUUUGGCCAAAGAUUUGCUUUUGUUCCCUUCGUAGCUUCCUGGUGACCUGCUGAUUGUCCCCGUCAAGUGGGACAGAACGGAUGGCUGCUGGUUGUCUGCCUUGUCUCACUCUGAGUGCACUCGGAGAGGAUUUGUUGAAGAUUUUGUGACCUUUUCAGGUCCUCUUCCGCGUAUCUGGCCCUGUUCUGCGGCUCGCUGAUACGCUUGUUACGGCCACCUCUGCAGUUAGAUUAAAUCUUCCUCCGCUUUGUUCCGUUACACUCUCACCGACUGGGUCACACAAAGAAGCCUUCGUGGAAGAGAAACCAUUGGGGCUGGAGCAAACAGACUUAACAGUCCACACGGCGGGUCGCUUCAUGGUGCCAGAUGGCAAUUUUUCUACAUUUACUUUCAACGAAAA